rnacentral:misc_RNA from 1 species
AUGAAACAUCAUACACACCACAAGUAACGAAAUAUUUUUUGUAUACUAAAAUCUAUUAUUAAAUUCGGCGUUAUGAACGAGCAGAAUGACAAGAAAGAUGCGGCAUCUAAUGGGGGGAUGAGUAAACCUGACCAAACGAAGGAAUUUAGACGACCUUCAGCUGAUGGUGGUGCUAAGCCUCCGCCAAGUCGAUACAUUCAAACCUCUGAGGACGUUAAGGAUUCCACGUCCGAGACGGUUCUAGUGAUAAUUUGCUGGUUCCUUGUGAUCUUAAUGUUCCCCCUUUCCAUACUGGUUUGCCUAACCACAGUUCCCGAGUACUCUAGAAUGAUUAUACUUCGGCUAGGUCGUCUUAGGAAAGGUCUUCGAGGUCCGGGCUUGGUGUUUAUCCUUCCGUGCAUCGAUGAAAUUCACCAAGUAGAUAUGCGCACCGAUGUGGCCAAUGUUCGCCCGCAGGAUGUGCUUACAAAGGACUCGGUGACGAUUACCGUAAAUGCCGUCGUGUACUAUUCCAUUUACAGUCCCAUCGACUCGAUUAUCCAAGUGGACGAUGCAAAACAGGCCACCGAGCUGAUUUCCCAGGUCACGCUGCGUAAUGUGGUGGGAACAAAAACGCUCAAUGUCCUCUUGACCUCCAGGCAGCAACUCUCCAAGGAAAUCCAGCAGGCAGUGUCAGGAAUCACAUAUCGCUGGGGAGUUCGCGUUGAGCGGGUGGAUGUAAUGGACAUCACAUUGCCAACUAGUCUCGAAAGAUCCUUGGCCAGCGAGGCUGAAGCUGUGAGGGAAGCGCGUGCCAAGAUUAUUCUGGCCGAAGGUGAGCUUAAGGCUUCAAAGGCGCUGAAGGAGGCCUCCGAUGUGAUGUCAGAGAACAAGAUUACACUUCAGCUGAGGCAUCUGCAGAUCCUGUCAUCGAUCGCCUCGGAGCGAAGAGUUAGGAUAAUUUACCCUAUUCCCCUGGAGAUUAUGGAACCCUUUAUGACUGGCAAGGAAGGGCAGAAAAAAGACGGUGAUGGUGGAAGUGGUGGUGGCAAGGAAACUAAGAAGGACGAUGAUGCCGGAGGUAGCACGGAAACCCGAAAGGAAGGUGGUGGUCCUGUUCGUUUCACUGACGGAAGUAGUGGAGGAAUUUUGUCCAAAUUUAUCUUUGCUGAGUGUCUUGGACGGAACUGGUGAAGUCCUAGCAUUAAAUCAAAAAACCCACGAAGGCCAAGAAGAAAGGAUAGAUGAAGAAAAUCGGAGACCCACAUACGUCGCCUAUGAAAUGGAAUCUGUCAAACGAAGUCCUGCGA